AUGAAGAGUGAAAUGAGAACAGUCAAGAUCCUCAUGGCUCUCCAGAGACUGUCCUCAGCCCGUGGCUAUGGGCACCGAGCUACCUGCCAGGGUUCUUUCAGCAACGCAAGAGGGCCUGGCCUGGGCUCAGGAACAGUCUGCCACCAACAGUCUGGAACUGCGGCUGCAGAGCCCGUUUCUCAGACAGGUGCCCUUGAGAGGUUUGAUCACAGAGGACAAGCUUGUUCGCCAGCCACUGCCCCAAAAGCCUGCAGACUCCCGGCAUACUUGCAAACAGGGAGGGACACCCUAGUCACACAGGAAGCUCUGUGUACAGUGAGGACAAAUGGCCUUCAUCUUCCACAUCCCUUACAACUGUCCUUGACCCUGGACCCAGGUCCUCAGAGCAUUACUGACAGAAGCACAGUGUUGCAGGUGUGGGGCAAAGAUGGCUGUGAACGAACGUACUGGGGAGCACAAGAGACACUGCCCAUGUCAGUUCCCUCUGCUCCAGUUGGCAGCUAAGUUUCUAUCAUGAUUCUAUAGCAGGCCACACAGACACUCUCAUGGGGCUAAAAGAAUGCCAACAGGGACAAAUUGGGGUCAGAGGGAGCUUGAAAGGAACUCCUCAAGCCACCACAAACAAGCAGCUGCUGCCUGUACCCCAACUUGGAAGUCACGAUGGGUCCUGUCAUGAGGGGGCAGACACCAGGUCAGAUGUAAGGCAUGGCCAUUGGCUGAGCUGGUCAGUGCUGGAGGGGUGGAUGGCCGCAGUCUGUGAGGCCUUUAAAAUGUUUUGCCUCUAUGUCGCCCCAAGCAACUUCUUGUUCUAGAGUAUCCUCUAUAACAGGGAUCUGCAUUUUUUUUCCUAUAAAAAGCCAAGGACCAAGUAUUUUUGGCUUUUCGGUCCAUAAAGUUCUGUCACAACUAAUCAACUCUGCCUUGCCACAGACAAUGUAUAAACCAACGGGAGUGGCUGUUUUCCCAAAAGAAUUUUAUUUACAGAAACAGCCAGUGGACAGAUGAAUGCAUAAACAAAAUGUGCAUAUACAUACAGUGGAAUAUUAUUCAGACUUAAAA
rnacentral:lncRNA from 1 species